GUCAGAGUUUGAUCCUGGCUCAGAAUGAACGCUGGCGGCAUGCUUUACACAUGCAAGUCGAACGGUAACAGGCCGCAAGGUGCUGACGAGUGGCGAACGGGUGAGUAAUGCAUCGGAACGUGCCCAGUCGUGGGGGAUAACGCAGCGAAAGCUGCGCUAAUACCGCAUACGAUCUAAGGAUGAAAACGGGGGACCGAAAGGCCUCGCGCGAUCGGAGCGGCCGAUGUCAGAUUAGGUAGUUGGUGGGGUAAAGGCUCACCAAGCCAACGAUCUGUAGCUGGUCUGAGAGGACGACCAGCCACACGUGGAACUGAGACCACGGUCCAGACUCCGUACGGGAGCAGC
rnacentral:rRNA from 1 species